rnacentral:rRNA from 1 species
AUUGAACGCUGGCGGCAGGCCUAACACAUGCAAGUCGAGCGGAUGAAGGGAGCUUGCUCCUGGAUUCAGCGGCGGACGGGUGAGUAAUGCCUAGGAAUCUGCCUGGUAGUGGGGGAUAACGUCCGGAAACGGGCGCUAAUACCGCAUACGUCCUGAGGGAGAAAGUGGGGGAUCUUCGGACCUCACGCUAUCAGAUGAGCCUAGGUCGGAUUAGCUAGUUGGUGGGGUAAAGGCCUACCAAGGCGACGAUGCGUAACUGGUCUGAGAGGAUGAUCAGUCACACGGGAACUGAGACACGGUCCAGACUCCUACGGGAGGCAGCAGUGGGGGAUAUUGGACAAUGGGCGAAAGCCUGAUCCAGCCAUGCCGCGUGUGUGAAGAAGGUCUUCGGAUUGUAAAGCACUUUAAGUUGGGAGGAAGGGCAGUAAGUUAAUACCUUGCUGUUUUGACGUUACCAACAGAAUAAGCACCGGCUAACUUCGUG